CCGCUUGUUAAAUGUCACACACCUACGUAACUAAUUAAAUAGUAUUAUUCAUAAAUAUGAAAUAAAUUUGGCGAGAAAUUCACAUUUCGAUUUUUAAUUUGAUAUUCAAUAUCAAUGUUACUCAUGGGUUAAAAAUAGUAAAAAGAACUAUAAAAGGGAAGCAACCACUUAAUAGAUGAAUUAGCCGUCGCUGGCAAUAAGUGAAGAAUGGCUGCGCAAGAAGUUGAUUCUACAGAUGUCAACGUCGUUCUUAAAGAUCUAAAAAAGAUAAACAAAGGUUCAAUUACAGAAUUAUAACUUAAAUCAUUUAAGAACCCACCAGUAUUGACUAAAAAUGUUAUGCAAGCAGUAUGUAUAUUAAUGGGUAGGACUCCGUCAUGGGACGAGUCGAAGAAACUACUCGCUAAUGUAAACGAGUUUUUGCAGAAACUUCAGACUUAUGACAAGGUUAAUAUACCACCGGAAGUAAUGACAAAGAUACGCAAGGAAUACACCAGUGACCCGAAUUUUAAUCUUGAAAAUGCGAAGAAUGUGUCACUGGCGACAUGGAAGUUAUGUUCAUGGGUUAUUGCUAUGGACAAAUAUGAUAAACAUGUGAAAGCUGCCGGUGGGAAAUAAGCAAAUUCAGAGAGACCCAAAUGCGUCAAAAAUAAUAAAUUGCAAGAACAGAUAAAAGAACUAUUAUAACAACGGUGGCAAAUUCAUUUGGAGUAUUGAAUAAUACAGAGGUUUUUGCCAUUCCUUUUUCAAACUGUUAGUCUUAUAGUGAUUGCAACUUUGCUUUCUUCAUACUUAGUGUUGCAGGUCAUUUACAACAAAUAUGGUAUACAAUCAAAUAGCAAUGCUUUGAAACUAUUUGAAGAAUUUGGCAGAUAAACUUUGAUCCUAUAUCGGAAAUUUACCAAUAAAAUUGACUUGUUGAAUUA